rnacentral:rRNA from 1 species
AGMCCUUCAUGYUYGKGGAGCGGCYGAUAUYUUGAUUAGYUAGUUGGUGAGGUAAAGGCUCMMCAAGGGCGACGAUCAGUAGCUGKUCUGAGAGGACGACCAGCCMCCACUGGAAYUGAGACACGGUCCAGAYUCYUACGGGRRGCAGCAGUGGGGAAUUUUGGACAAUGGGCGCAAGCCUGAUCCAGCAAUGCCGCGUGAGUGAAGAAGGCCUUCGGGUUGUAAAGCUCUUUUGUCAGGGAAGAAACGGGUGAGGCUAAUAUCCUUGCCUAAUGACGGUACCUGAAGAAUAAGCACCGGCUAACUACGUGCCAGCAGCCGCGGUAAUACGUAGGGUGCAAGCGUUAAUCGGAAUUACUGGGCGUAAAGCGUGCGCAGGCGGUUGUGCAAGACAGAUGUGAAAUCCCCGGGCUCAACCUGGGAAUUGCAUUUGUGACUGCACGGCUAGAGUGUGUCAGAGGGGGGUAGAAUUCCACGUGUAGCAGUGAAAUGCGUAGAUAUGUGGAGGAAUACCGAUGGCGAAGGCAGCCCCCUGGGAUAACACUGACGCUCAUGCACGAAAGCGUGGGGAGCAAACAGGAUUAGAUACCCUGGUAGUCCACGCCCUAAACGAUGUCUACUAAGUUGUCGGGUCUUAAUUGACUUGGUAACGCAGCUAACGCGUGAAGUAGACCGCCUGGGGGAGUACGGUCGCAAGAUUAAAACUCAAAGGAAUUGACGGGGACCCGCACAAGCGGUGGAKGAWGGUGGGAUUAAAUUCGAUGCAACGCGAAAAACCUUACCUACCCUUGAMWUGUACGGAAGUCCGAARAGAAUUUGGAUGUGCUCGAAARAGAACCGUAACACAGGUGCUGGCAUGGSUGUCGUCAGCUCSUGUCGUGAGAWGGUUGUGGGUUAAKUCUCCSCAACSARMGGCAACCCCUUGUCAUUARUUUGCUACSAAARGGSACUCUWAUUGAGACUGSCSGUGRMAAACACSRAGRAAAAGGGGKGGGGRKGA